rnacentral:lncRNA from 1 species
UGGUUAUUUUAGAAAAAAAAAGAGUAGCUAUUGUAUCUGGCUGUCUAAAAUAACAAGUCAUGUAUCUCGGAAUUUUCGCAUGCUAGAUAUAGCUUGCAUAUACUGCUAGCCAUUCACUUCAUCCUAUUAGAAAGGUUGUUGGAGUUUUGUGUUUUUUUUUUUGCUCGAGUUUUUAUUUUGAAGGUUAGCUAAAUCAUGAGUUUAGCUAUUUAUUUUUACCAACUCUGUUGGAGUUGCUCUUACACCUAAAAUUUAAAAACUUUUCAAGGUUCUUUGUCACAUCAAAUUUUGCGGCACAUGUAUAG